rnacentral:lncRNA from 1 species
UUUGACUAAUAUUUUUUCAUAUUUUAUUUUUAUUUUAGGCUAAAAAUCUCAUAGAGAGAUUUUUCAGUCAACAAGUAGAAGUUCUAGGCAGACGUUCAGAUCCAUUGCCUGAAAUAUACUACAUUGAAGGUACUCUCCAAAUGGUUUGGAUCAAUCGCUGCUUUCCAGGGUAUGGAAUGAAUACCCUGAAGCAUCCAAAAUGUCCUGAAUGCUGUGGUAUGUAAUGAACUAUGAUUUCAUGUUGUAUAUUGAUAAAAAUUCACUUAUUUCAUUAUGCCUAAGUGAAUGUCUAUCAGUUUUUUUUUUUAUUGUCAGCUGUAUAUUUUUUUAAAUUAUUCAAGGUAGUAUGUUUGAGGAGGCUGUGUGAAUCUAAGAUGUAAAGGAAAAAAGCGGCUUCAUUUUGACCUUGGUAUUACUAUGACAGCAAAGGUUCAAUGGCUUUAGGCAGUUAUCUGGGAAGAAACAAAGAUAAUAGUUAUAAGUUACUUUAGAGUUAUUUACCCUAGAUAUAACCAAAUGAUAUAUCUUAGAAACUGUUAUCAGUGAGUUUAAUUUUGUGUAGUCUAGAGUAGGUAGGGAAUUUUGUGGGUUUUUUUUCCUUUUAGAAAUAAGUAUUUGAAUUAUUUUAUUAUAAUUUUUUCUGACUUUUGAUACUAGCACUAAAGGUUCUUAGUCACUCUCUGACAUUCAUCUGUCUUCAUCUUUAUUAUAGAGGAAUUCUACAAAAGUGGUUGCCUUUGUAUUAAAAGAAUUUGCAUUUUUGUUAUCAAGAAUUGAAUGGGUCAGUUAAUUUCUAGUCUUAAAAUCUUCCUAUUAUUAAUAUUGCUAAGUCAGUACCUUUUUUUUCAUCUUUUUAAAUUUGUUCUCCUGUUUAUCCAAGUUAGAUUAAAAAUCUUUUCAUAUAAUGGAGCACCAAGUGUUCUUUUUACUUUUGUUUGGUUAGAUUUUGCUUUAUUACUUUUUUCUUCUAUUGUUUUUGUUUAACUAUAUGGAAUUUGACAAAAUGUAUUAAAAUUGUUUUAGAAAAUACAAUACAAAUUUAAUAAAUAAAUUACUUCCAGAUGGAAACUUUGUAACUAUUUUGACAACAGUGGUAUUGUGUAUCAGUGUAGCACAGAUAAGGAUAAAGAAAAGGCUAGAAAUAACAAGGAAUGAAAGUGGAACAUAGUAGUUUAGCUCUCUAUUUAUAUGCAUUUCUAUUUGUUUUCAGUAAAGACUUUAAUGCUAAAUUAAAAUUAUUAAAAUAUUUAUAUCUCAUGAGGAAUUUUG